rnacentral:rRNA from 1 species
GACGAACGCUGGCGGCGUGCUUAACACAUGCAAGUCGAACGGUCCUUCCAUUCGGGGUACACGAGUGGCGAUCGGGUGAGUAACACGUGGGUGAUCUGCCCUGCACUUCGGGAUAAGGCUUUGAAACUGGGUCUAAUACCGGAUAGGACCACUGCCUGCAUGGGUGGUGGUGGAAAGCGUUUGCGGUGUGGGAUGGGCCCGCGGCCUAUCAGCUUGUUUGUGGGGUGAUGGCCUACCAAGGCGACGACGGGUAGCCGGCCUGAGAGGGUGACCGGCCACACUGGGACUGAGAUACAGCCCAGACUCCUACGGGCGGAAGACGUGGGGAAUAUUGCACAAUGGGCGCAAGCCUGAUCAACAGACGCCGCGUGAGAGAUGACGGCCUUCGGGUUGUAAACCUCUAUAAGCACCCAAGAAGCGCAAGUGACGGUAGGUGCAGAAGAAGGACCGGCCAACUAAAGGCCAGCCGCCGCGGUAA